AAAACAAAACAAAACAAAACAGCUAAUGGAUCUGCUGGAGUUACCCACCCUGGGUCUGCUGCACUUUUGACAGAAGAGACGGAAGCUGCGGCCCCAUCAGGAGUUCAAUGGUGAGGGGCAGCCACUGGCUGAUGUAUGACAUCAUGACAUAUGAUGUAUGACUUUAUGACAUAUGAGGGCAGGUGUAAGUGAGCCGGCCAAGACCUAAUUUAGGGGUGAUCUAAGUUGUGGAGUACUUAUCAGGAGUACUGACUGGACUGGGCUGUCCAUUCACACAGGAAUCUGAUGGAUCUCAAAGUCCAGUUUGGGAGCUAUGAUGUUAUCCCCAUUGUCAACUUCACCGGAUUUAGAGGAGUAUCACCCAGUCCCUUAACAAAACCAAGCUGAAGAAUGAAGCCAGCCUGCAAAACACACUUCAAACCCUCCUUGUUUGCUCCAUGCUGAGAGUGGAGAGGAAGGAACUGGGAAGUGGGAAGUGAGUGGAAGUCAUACAGCCUACCACACCAAGAAGCUCUUCCAGCAAGAUCCCAUCUGCUGAUUCUCACUGAUGCAAACCAACAGAGCCUUGUUAUGAUACUGUAAAACGUGUUAUGCUUCCGUAA